UAAAGAAACAAAAUAAUGAAAAAUAUGUAAUAAUUAAUAUACAUCUGAGGAAUAUGGAGGAUAUAGGAAGAAAGCCAGUAUUAUUUUAAUUAGAAUUAUAUGGUCAUUAAAGUUGGAUUAAUCAUUAAGCUGCUUAAGGUCACUUAAAGAGAUGGACAGGUUAGAUAAUUUUUUAUUUGUGACCAUUGCUGAUGCUUCGGAUAUUUCCUUCAGAUAUGAAGAUCUAAAAAGUUUAGUUUAUGAAAAACAUAUGAAAAAUGGCUAUAUAUAAGAAAACGAUAAAAUUUAUUUUGUUAACGACUUGGUCUUGUGUAAUUGGAAAAUGUAAUUUUGUUUAUUAGACAUGAAAGUAUUUAAAGAAAGAAUUCGAUUUUUACAUAUCAAAUGGCCAGACUAUUCUAACAGUUGUUAUGUUAAAUAGUGCAAAACACUUUUUGAUGAUGCAAAUAAUAAAUUAUGGUAUUUUGUACAUGUAAAGUCUCUGUCGAACAUAACUGAUGCAGGGGA